UACGGGGGAGCAAGCGUUGUUCGGAUUUACUGGGCGUAAAGGGCGCGUAGGCGGUCGUGACAAGUCACUUGUGAAAUCUCCGGGCUUAACUCGGAACGGUCAAGUGAUACUGUCGGACUAGAGUACAGAAGGGGCAACUGGAAUUCUCGGUGUAGCGGUGAAAUGCGUAGAUAUCGAGAGGAACACCUGCGGCGAAGGCGGGUUGCUGGGCUGAUACUGACGCUGAGGCGCGAAAGCCAGGGGAGCGAAUGGG
rnacentral:rRNA from 1 species